GGGAGCCGGAGGGAAACCGAGUCUUAAUUGGGCGUUAAGUUGCAGGGUAUAGACCCGAAACCCGGUGAUCUAGCCAUGGGCAGGUUGAAGGUUGGGUAACACUAACUGGAGGACCGAACCGACUAAUGUUGAAAAAUUAGCGGAUGACCUGUGGCUGGGGGUGAAAGGCCAAUCAAACCGGGAGAUAGCUGGUUCUCCCCGAAAGCUAUUUAGGUAGCGCCUCGUGAAUUCAUCUCCGGGGGUAGAGCACUGUUUCGGCUAGGGGGCCAUCCCGGCUUACCAACCCGAUGCAAACUGCGAAUACCGGAGAAUGUUAUCACGGGAGACACACGGCGGGUGCUAACGUCCGUCGUGAAGAGGGAAACAACCCAGACCGCCAGCUAAGGUCCCAAAGUCAUGGUUAAGUGGGAAACGAUGUGGGAAGGCCCAGACAGCCAGGAUGUUGGCUUAGAAGCAGCCAUCAUUUAAAGAAAGCGUAAUAGCUCACUGGUCGAGUCGGCCUGCGCGGAAGAUGUAACGGGGCUAAACCAUGCACCGAAGCUGCGGCAGCGAACGUAUCACUUAAAGCGAUUCAGCGGGUUACGAUUGACGGAGCGAAGCGACGUCAAAGCGUAUACAAAGUCGAGUCGGUUUAAGGAUACGUUCGUUGGGUAGGGGAGCGUUCUGUAAGCCUGUGAAGGUGGCCUGUGAGGGUUGCUGGAGGUAUCAGAAGUGCGAAUGCUGACAUAAGUAACGAUAAAGCGGGUG
rnacentral:rRNA from 1 species